UACGAAGGGGGCUAGCGUUGCUCGGAAUUACUGGGCGUGAAGCGCACGUAGGCGGCUUUCUAAGUCGGGGGUGAAAUCCUGGAGCUCAACUCCAGAACUGCCCUUGAUACUGAGGAGCUCGAGUCCGGAAGAGGUGAGUGGAACUCCGAGUGUAGAGGUGAAAUUCGUAGAUAUUCGGAAGAACACCAGUGGCGAAGGCGGCUCACUGGUCCGGUACUGACGCUGAGGUGCGAAAGCGUGGGGAGCAAACAGG
rnacentral:rRNA from 1 species